rnacentral:rRNA from 1 species
CCCAGACUCCUACGGGAGGCAGCAGUGAGGAAUAUUGGUCAAUGGUCGGGAGACUGAACCAGCCAAGCCGCGUGAGGGAUGAAGGUACAGAGUAUCGUAAACCUCUUUUGUCAGGGAACAAAGGCGGGGACGUGUCCCCGGAUGAGUGUACCUGAAGAAAAAGCAUCGGCUAACUCCGUGCCAGCAGCCGCGGUAAUACGGAGGAUGCGAGCGUUAUCCGGAUUUAUUGGGUUUAAAGGGUGCGUAGGCGGCGCUUCGGGUAAGGGGUGAAAUGCCGGGCCCCACCCCCGGCGAGCCGUUGAAACUGGCUGUCUUGAGAUGUCGAGAGGUAUGCGGAAUGCGCAGUGUAGCGGUGAAAUGCUUAGAUAUUGCGCAGAACUCCGAUUGCGAAGGCAGCAUACCGGCGGCGAUCUGACGCUGAGGCACGAAAGCGUGGGUAUCGAACAGGAUUAGAUACCCUAGUA